AGGGGCGCGCGUCAGAGUCGGGCAGGAGCCGGGGCUGGAGGCAGGGGCUGCGGUGCCAUGGGGUCGCGGAGGGCCGCGGGCCGGGGCUGGGGCCUGGGUGGUCGAGCAGGAGCUGGUGGAGAUAGCGAGGACGACGGGCCGGUGUGGACGCCCGGCCCAGCCAGUCGCAGCUACUUGCUUAGCGUGCGGCCAGAGGCUAGCUUAUCAAGCAACCGGUUGUCUCACCCCAGCUCUGGAAGGAGCACCUUCUGCUCCAUCAUUGCUCAGCUCACAGAGGAGACCCAGCCACUGUUCGAGACCACACUCAAGUCCCGUGCCGUGUCCGAAGACAGUGACGUCAGGUUCACCUGCAUUGUCACAGGAUACCCAGAGCCAGAGGUGACCUGGUACAAGGAUGACAUAGAACUGGACCGUUACUGUGGCUUGCCAAAAUACGAGAUCACUCAUCAAGGCAACCGUCACACCCUGCAGCUGUACAGGUGUCAGGAAGAAGAUGCUGCCAUCUACCAAGCCUCUGCCCGGAACACCAAGGGCAUCGUGUCCUGCUCAGGGGUCCUAGAGGUGGGCACUAUGACGGAGUACAAGAUUCACCAGCGCUGGUUCGCCAAGUUGAAGCGCAAGGCUGCAGCCAAGAUGAGGGAGAUUGAGCAGAGCUGGAAGCAUGGAAAAGAGGCUUCAGGGGAGGCUGACACGCUUCUUCGCAAGAUCAGCCCCGACCGCUUCCAAAGAAAGCGCCGACUGAGUGGAGUCGAAGAGGCUGUCCUCUCCACGCCAGUCAGGGAAAUGGAGGAAGGCUCCUCAGCGGCUUGGCAGGAAGGAGAGACUGAGUCUGCUCAGCACCCGGGGUUGGGUUUGAUCAACAGUUUUGCUCCUGGAGAGGCGCCCACCAAUGGGGAGCCUGCUCCAGAGAACGGGGAAGACGAAGAGCGUGGCUUGCUGACAUACAUCUGCGAGGUCAUGGAACUGGGGCCUCAGAACAGCCCUCCAAAGGAGUCUGGGGCUAAGAAGAAAAGGAAGGAUGAGGAAUCUAAACCAGGAGAGCAGAAGCUGGAGUUAGAAAAGGCAGAAGGGAGCCAGUGCUCUUCAGAAAACGUCGUCCCCAGUACAGACAAACCCAACUCCAGUAGAAGGGAGAAGUCCACGGAUACACAGCCAGCUCAGACCCAGCCCAGAGGCCGGGUAGCACGGGGGCCUGGGAUAGAAAGCACCAGGAAGACAGCCUCUGUCCUGGGCAUUCAAGACAAGGUCCAGGAUGUCCCCGCCCCCGCCCCUGCCCCGGUCCCCGCCCCAGCCCUGGCCCCGGCCCCUGUCCCAGUCCCUGCACCCACCCCUGUUCCAAGCCGCAGCUCAGAGCAGGUGUAUUUCUCCCUGAAGGACAUGUUCAUGGAGACCACCCGGGCAGGCAGGUCCCAGGAAGAGGAAAAACCUCCACCUCCAAGUACCAGGGUAGCUGGAGAAAGUCCCCCAGGAAAGACACCAGUCAAGUCUAGACUGGAGAAGGUACCGAUGGUCUCCAGCCAGCCCACAUCUUCCAUGGUUCCCCCGCCCAUUAAGCCUUUGAACAGGAAGAGAUUUGCCCCUCCUAAAUCCAAAGUGGAGUCAACUACUACCUCUCUCUCAAGUCAGACUUCAGAAUCUAUGGCCCAGAGCUUAGGGAAGGCUCUACCUUCAGCCUCUACCCAGGUCCCAACACCCCCUGCUCGACGGAGACACGGCACCCGAGAUAGCCCCUUGCAAGGACAAACGAGCCACAAGACUCCAGGAGAGGCUCUGGAGUCCCCAGCAACCGUGGCUCCCACCAAGUCUGCCAACAGCAGCUCCGAUACCGUCUCUGUUGAUCACGACAGCUCUGGAAAUCAAGGGGCCACGGAGCCCAUGGAUACAGAAACUCAGGAAGAUGGAAGGACACUUGUGGAUGGGAGAACUGGAAGCAGGAAGAAAACACACACAGAUGGAAAGCUGCAAGUGGAUGGGAGGACUCAGGGAGACGGAGCACAAGACAGAGCACACGCUUCGCCAAGGACACAGGCAGGUGAGAAGGCACCGACGGACGUUGUGACACAAGGAAGUGAGAGGCCACAGUCAGACAGGAGUUCAUGGAAGAAUUUGGUGACACAGAGAAGAGUGGAUAUGCAGGUAGGACAGAUGCAGGCAGGUGAGAGGUGGCAGCAAGACCCUGGAGACGCAAGGAUACAGGAGGAAGAAAAAGAGACACAGUCAGCAGCAGGCAGCAUUCCUGUAGCUUUCGAAACCCAAUCAGAGCAGUUGUCCAUGGCCAGCCUCAGCUCACUUCCUGGAGCUCUCAAAGGCUCACCAUCAGGAUGCCCUAGAGAGUCCCAGGCUAUAGAAUGUUUUGAGAAGAGCACAGAGGCACCCUGUGUCCAAGAAAGAUCUGACUUGAUGCUGCGGUCUGAAGAGGCAGCCUUCAGAAGCCAUGAGGAUGGGCUGCUAGGCCCCCCAUCAGGGAACCGUACCUACCCAACACAGUUGCCUCCCGAGGGGCACUCAGAGCAUUUGGGAGGACAAACACAUCAAAGGUCAGAGCAAGAGGACAGCCUGUCUCAGUGCCCCAAGAAGGAGCAGCCCCAGGAACCGCUUCAUGUGGGUCUCUCUGGUGGGCAUUCAACUGGCUUGAGUCAGGAGGUGCCUGCCAUGCCUUCUCUUCCUGGGACGGGCCUAACCAGUAGUCUGCAGGAGGAGCUACCAGGCACCGCAGCUUCUCUGCACACAAACACAGAUGUCCCCCUCCCCUCCAGGGACCAGGACUUUCCGAGUUCUGCUCCCACUCUGCAAUUGGGGCCAGGGUCCCCCACUCAGAGUCACCCACCAGAAGCCAUGGCUACUAGCAGUGAGGGAGCCUGUGCCAAGGAGCCAAAUGUGGACGGGAGGUCCUCAGGUACCCGGAGCUGUGACCCUGGCCUUAUAGAUUCCCUGAAGAACUACUUGCUUCUGCUGCUGAAGCUAUCCAGUCCAGAGACAAGUGAAGCCAGGGCCGAGUCCCAGGAAGUGGCAGACACCGGGGGCUUAACCUCCUCCUCUACUCUGGUCCCCACCAUGGAGGUGGCUGGGCUGAGUCCCAGGACGUCGAGGCGAAUCCUGGAACGCGUGGAGAACAAUCACUUAGUGCAGAGUGCACAGACCCUGUUGCUGAGCCCCUGCACCUCCCGCCGCCUUACUGGCCUUCUGGACCGUGAGGUACAGGCUGGCCAGCAGGCUCUGGCUGCUGCCCAGUGCUCUCGGGGCCCGUGCCCCACCCCCCUCACCAUCCCUGCCAUUGUGGUGGGUGAGGAAGGAUCUGCGGGAGAGGAUUCCGAGGAGAGGACUUCGCAGGAAAGUGACAAGAAGGGACUGCUAGGGGAAGUGGAGGGGCACACAGUGGAAAGCAGAACCCAGGAGCCCUGCCAAGAAGAAGCAAUGCCAGGGGAGGCUUUGACGGGUCUCCCUGCAGCUACACCCGAGGAACUGGCUCUGGGGGCCCGGAGGAAGAGGUUCCUCCCUAAGGUCAGAGCAGGGUCAGAUGGAGAGGCAAACAAGGCUGAAGAAAGGGAGAGCCCCACGGUUUCCCCCCGGGGACCCAGGAAGGGCCUGACACCUGGGUCACCAGGGACUCCAGGGCGGGAGAGACGGUCCCCUACCCAGGCCCGAAAAGCCAGCAUGUUAGAGGUGCCUGGCGCAGAAGAAGAGCCUGCAACUGGAGACUUGGUCUCCAGAUCCAAAGACAGUGGCCUGGACUCAGAGCCUGCGGUGGAUGAAGGCAAGCAGGAAGCUCUGGCCAAGCAAAGGAAAGCUAAGGACCUGCUAAAAGCCCCACAGGUGAUCCGGAAAAUUCGGGUGGAACAGUUUCCAGAUUCUUCUGGUAGUCUGAAGCUUUGGUGCCAGUUUUUCAACAUUGUUAGUGACUCAGUCUUGACAUGGGCGAAGGAUCAGCACCCAGUGGGCGAAGUGAACAGGAGGGCUCCCAGAGCCUGGGUUCCCAGCAGCCUGUGAGAGUUGGGUCGAAGGCCCUGGGUGAUGACCCUCACGAGAAGGGUCUCCGCUCUCUGCAGUGCAGGGGACGAGGGGCCAGCGGCUUUGGCCAUCGUGCAGGCGUCUCCCACGGACUGUGGUGUGUAUCGCUGUACCAUCCAAAACGAGCAUGGCUCAGCGUCCACUGACUUCUGCCUCAGCCCCGAGGUAUUGUCCGGCUUCAUCUCCAGAGAGGAAGGUGAAGUUGGAGAAGAGAUUGAGAUGACCCCCAUGGUGUUUGCUAAGGGUCUGGCUGACUCUGGCUGCUGGGGGGACAAGCUCUUUGGGCGAUUGGUGAGCGAGGAACUUCGAGGGGGUGGACAUGGCCUUCAGAAGGCGUCCCGGGCCAAGGUCAUCUAUGGGCUGGAACCCAUCUUCGAAUCUGGCCGCACGUGCAUCAUCAAAGUAUCCAGCCUGCUUGUGUUCGGACCCAGCAGUGAGACCUCUCUUCUGGGCAGAAACUAUGACGUCACUAUCCAGGGAUGCAAGAUCCAGAACAUGAGUCGAGAGUACUGCAAAAUCUUUGCAGCUGAAGCCCGGGCGGCCUCUGGCUUCGGAGAGGUGCCCGAGAUCAUCCCACUCUACUUGAUCUACCGGCCUGCAAACAAUAUACCAUAUGCAACCCUGGAGGAAGAUCUGGGCAAGCCCCUGCAGACUUACUGUUCCAGGCAGUGGGGCUGUGCUGGGGCCCCCGCAGCAGCCAGCAGCUCCGAGGCCUUGCAGAAAUGCCAAACCUUCCAGCACUGGCUGUAUCAGUGGACAAACGGCAGCUUUCUUGUCACAGAUCUGACAGGAGCUGACUGGAAGAUGACUGAUGUACAGAUUGCUACCAAACUUCGAGGAUACCAAGGCCUCAAGGAGAGCUGUUUUCCUGCCCUGCUGGACCAGUUUGCCUCUUCCCACCAGUGUAACACCUACUGUGACAUGCUGGGGCUGAAGCCCCUCAAAGGCCCUGAGGCUGCCCACCCUCAAGCCAAGGCCAAAGGCUCCAAAAGUCCAUCUGCUGGCAGAAAAGGCUCACAGCUGAGUCCUCAACCCCAGAAGAAAGGCCUUCCCAGUCCCCAGGGCUCCAGGAAGAGCGCUCCAAGCUCCAGGGCUACACUUCAGGCCUCCCAGGCAGCCACUGUUCAGUUACUGGGACAGCCUCCUGUCCAAGAUGGGAGCUCUAAGGCCCAGAGCAUGCGGUAGCCCCACCAGGAAGCGGGGGGCCUCUACCCGAGAGCAGACCAACCAGGAAGCAGCUUGAACCAGAUGGAGACAUUUUCGAUUCAGGACUAACCAGAGAAGGUGCCCAGAGGAGGCAUGCCUUUGGGACCUCUCUGAGUAGUUUCACCUCAUUGGAAGGCUUUGGGCACAUGACCUAUUGGCCUCUUCAACUUUCAUUAUCACCCAGGGCUCCCAGGCCCCAAGUGGGGCCCACCUCCAAGUACCUGGUGGCCUAGACCCUCAUCUAAGUUUACACUUGCCACUGCUGGGGGCUCCUGAGUCCUCUGCAUGAGUUCUGCACUCUGACCCCUUGCCCCAAUCACCACACAAGUAAGUGUUGCACUCUGGGGCCAGCAGGCCAGCAUUUACCUUUUUGCCCCUGCUUAUCCUGGCUCUCUCCCUGUCCUCAGGGCACUAGACUUCUUGUGUGGGGUCUAGCCUUGUGCCUCUCAGGGUUUCAUCUCCUUUCAGCUUCUUUGCCUCAUUCAUCACAGUUUAUCCUGCCACUAACCUGUCCUGAGUCCCCCCCUGGGCCCCAGAGCCCUCUGGAGCCUAUCACUUCUUUGUGCAGUGUUUUUUGUUUUUUUUUUUUUUUGUUUUUUUUUUGAUGAACCAUGUUCUUGUCACUCUGCACUUACUUGUUUCCCAUGCUGCCUUGCACACACGCCCGUCCCCCAUCCCAGGCUUUGAACCCAAUUCAGUCUGCUGCCUGCCCUUCCCUGGCUUUUGCUUAUCCCUUUGUCUAAGGGCUCCUUCUAUCCUGACCCUGCAUCCUACCCACCAGCGUAUGGGCAAGGAACAGCCUGUCUGACUUCACUCUACCCUAGUGCCCUCUCCCCUGGCUCUCCCAGGUUCUCUGCUCAGGAGGAGGGAGGUGGCACGGGAACCUGUGAACAGCUACUGGGGCCAGGGAUUAACUCUAAGUGCCUUAUACUCUGUUCUGAAAGGAGUGAGGUUGCAGUAAAUGUCACAUCUCUAUCCUCAAGGACUAGAGACUAGGACUCACUUGGGGGAAGAGGAGGCACAGGGUGUUCCUGGAGGGUUUCGAUCCAUUCACACGCUUGUGUAGAGAAGGAUAUCUUUCUGCCUACCUCCAACCAUUUGCUCUUGAUCCUGCUCAGGUGUGGGUCCCCAGGGAAUUUCUGUGCAGGGGUCCAGCACCCUGGGCCCUUUCUAGAUACCCCUCCUGAGACCUGGAAUGGAGUAGGGUCUGGAGCUAGCCUGCUCCCCUUGCUAUGCAAUAAAGGCAGUGACUGUGUGUCCUGUUUGUUGCUCUCA